rnacentral:rRNA from 1 species
AUUGAACGCUGGCGGCAGGCCUAACACAUGCAAGUCGAGCGGAUGAAGAGAGCUUGCUUUCUGAUUCAGCGGCGGACGGGUGAGUAAUGCCUAGGAAUCUGCCUGAUAGUGGGGGACAACGUUUCGAAAGGAACGCUAAUACCGCAUACGUCCUACGGGAGAAAGCAGGGGACCUUCGGGCCUUGCGCUAUCAGAUGAGCCUAGGUCGGAUUAGCUAGUUGGUGAGGUAACGGCUCACCAAGGCGACGAUCCGUAACUGGUCUGAGAGGAUGAUCAGUCACACUGGAGCUGAGACACGGUCCAGACUCCUACGGGAGGCAGCAGUGGGGAAUAUUGGACAAUGGGCGAAAGCCUGAUCCAGCCAUGCCGCGUGUGUGAAGAAGGUCUUCGGAUUGUAAAGCACUUUAAGUUGGGAGGAAGGGCAUUAACCUAAUACGUUAGUGUUUUGACGUUACCGACAGAAUAAGCACCGGCUAACUUCGUGCCAGCAGCCGCGGUAAUACGAAGGGUGCAAGCGUUAAUCGGAAUUACUGGGCGUAAAGCGCGCGUAGGUGGUUUGUUAAGUUGAAUGUGAAAGCCCCGGGCUCAACCUGGGAACUGCAUCCAAAACUGGCAAGCUAGAGUAUGGCAGAGGGUGGUGGAAUUUCCUGUGUAGCGGUGAAAUGCGUAGAUAUAGGAAGGAACACCAGUGGCGAAGGCGACCACCUGGGCUAAUACUGACACUGAGGUGCGAAAGCGUGGGGAGCAAACA